CCUACGGGAGGCUGCAGUGGGGAAUAUUGGACAAUGGGCGAAAGCCUGAUCCAGCCAUGCCGCGUGUGUGAAGAAGGCCUUCGGGUUGUAAAGCACUUUCAGUGGGGAAGAAAGCCUUGGGGCUAAUACCCUCGAGGAAGGACAUCACCCACAGAAGAAGCACCGGCUAACUCCGUGCCAGCAGCCGCGGUAAUACGGAGGGUGCGAGCGUUAAUCGGAAUUACUGGGCGUAAAGCGCGCGUAGGCGGUCUGAUAAGCCGGUUGUGAAAGCCCCGGGCUCAACCUGGGAACGGCAUCCGGAACUGUCAGGCUAGAGUGCAGGAGAGGAAGGUAGAAUUCCCGGUGUAGCGGUGAAAUGCGUAGAGAUCGGGAGGAAUACCAGUGGCGAAGGCGGCCUUCUGGACUGACACUGACGCUGAGGUGCGAAAGCGUGGGUACCAAACAGGAUUAGAUACCUAUAGUC
rnacentral:rRNA from 1 species